GCAAGUCGAGCGCACCUUCGGGUGAGCGGCGAACGGGUUAGUAACGCGUGGGAACGUGCCCAGAUCUACGGAAUAGCCUUUGGAAACGAAGAGUAAUACCGUAUACGCCCUUCGGGGGAAAGAUUUAUCGGAUUUGGAUCGGCCCGCGUUAGAUUAGGUAGUUGGUGGGGUAAUGGCCUACCAAGCCUACGAUCUAUAGCUGGUUUGAGAGGAUGAUC
rnacentral:rRNA from 1 species